CCUUCCAUUUGGACAUCAAACAAGAGAAGAAGGACCUUUAAUGAAAUAACUUACAUUUUUUCUACCAAUAUCCCAUCAGCCGAAACUACUCUCUCUCCCCACUCCUCCAACACUCUGGAAUAUAAAACAGAUUUAUGAGUAACCACCACUCUGUUAGGUGCACUUUGAAUUUAGUUCUUUCAAAGAGAAACGGGAAUGGGACUGUAGCCACCUCAAGAAAUGAUACUGGCAAAAGACACAUUUGGUAUUCCUAUUUUAUUGCCACAAUAUGCUGAAUUUUGUCUAUAUUAAGGAAAAGGUUUCAGCCAACAACCUGCGUCAACAACCACACAUGUGAGGAAAGAUGUCUUCUGAAGAUUCCAGCCUCCAGCCAGCAAGCCUUUCCAAGUAUAACCCUAGGACACAAAUCAAAAUUACUCAGAAUUUGAAGAGCCAGGAAAAUAUCAACUUGAGUGGGAAAAGGCAAUCAACAUAUGCCCUUUAUUGUGCAAAACUCGGGUAACAGGUAAACAAGAUUAACAGGGACCGCUAGGAUCAAGAAAUGGAAGAUGCCUCCCUACAUACAUCUGAGAUGAAUCCACAAAGAUAUCAAUCAAACGUCAUCGUAAUGAAGAGAUCCCAUCCUUCAUGGUCACACUCACAGCAAUAUUUCAUCUACUCCUCUCUCCUUCAUCUGUUGUCUGUCUUUUCCGUGACUUUUCCUUCAACCUUCCUGUUUUUGAAUGCAUUUUGAUGUUAUCAUAUAGCAUAAUAGCUCUAUGUCUCCUUCACUCUAUAUAAAGCUCUUCAGCAACGGGAAA
rnacentral:lncRNA from 1 species